UACGAAGGGGGCUAGCGUUGCUCGGAAUCACUGGGCGUAAAGGGUGCGUAGGCGGGUCUUUAAGUCAGGGUGGAAAUCCUGGAGCUCAACUCCAGAACUGCCUUUGAUACUGAAGAUCUUGAGUUCGGGAGAGGUGAGUGGAACUGCGAGUGUAGAGGUGAAAUUCGUAGAUAUUCGCAAGAACACCAGUGGCGAAGGCGGCUCACUGACCCGAUACUGACGCUGAGGCACGAAAGCGUGGGGAGCAAACAGG
rnacentral:rRNA from 1 species